GCACUUUCAGCGGGGAGGAAGGCGGUGAGGUUAAUAACCUCAUCGAUUGACGUUACCCGCAGAAGAAGCACCGGCUAACUCCGUGCCAGCAGCCGCGGUAAUACGGAGGGUGCAAGCGUUAAUCGGAAUUACUGGGCGUAAAGCGCACGCAGGCGGUCUGUCAAGUCGGAUGUGAAAUCCCCGGGCUUAACCUGGGAACUGCAUUCGAAACUGGCAGGCUAGAGUCUUGUAGAGGGGGGUAGAAUUC
rnacentral:rRNA from 1 species